UACGUAGGGGGCAAGCGUUGUCCGGAAUCAUUGGGCGUAAAGCGCGUGUAGGCGGCUUCGUAAGUCCGUUGUGAAAGUCCAGGGCUCAACCCUGGAAUGCCGAUGGAUACUGCGGAGCUAGAGUCCGGAAGAGGCGAGUGGAAUUCCUGGUGUAGCGGUGAAAGUGCGCAGAUAUCAAGGAGGAACACCAAUGGCGAAGGCAGCUCGCUGGGACGGUACUGACGCUGGAGACGCGAAAGCGUGGGGAGCAAACAGG
rnacentral:rRNA from 1 species